rnacentral:lncRNA from 1 species
UGUUGGGACCCACUGCUGAGGAGGCUGUGGAACCAAUAUGGCUCCCUACUCCAAGUGAAUUGAAAGUUUCCAUAGCAGCAAUGCCCUUGAUGAAACGUGACUUUCAUAUAGCCAUCACCUCUGCUGCUUAUAUUUUUUUCAGUGACUACCUGGAGCCUUUCUGCAUAUCAAGACAAGAUCACUGACGACAAAGGGCUGGAAAAUAACCAGUCCAUCAGCACUGAAGCCAGUGAUCUUCCCUCCUUACAAGGACUGGAGAUGUCUCCUGCACACACAAUGAGCAGCUGCAGGUCACCCAAAUGAGGAUCACCAAGGCAUGGUAAUCAAAGGCUGGGGGCACAGGAGGAGGAAAGAGUCCUAGAGUGAAACAGCCCAAAACAAUGUGGCAACCCCGCUGAUGGCAGAGAAAGCACAGCAGCUGACAGACGAGCCUGGCUUGGAGCUAUAAUGGACUUGCUCUUUUAAAGCAAAGACUUUCAGGCCAACAGAGACAGACCCUUCUGAUGGCAGCAGCUGCAGAUGCUAAUUAAAGGGCAAAUCUCACAUGUGUUCAGUUUGGAAGUAGCGGCUGCUUCUCUGUUGGUGUUUGCAUCCAUACCCCAGUACCAGGAAGGCAAUUUCCAUCCAUUGUGUUGCAUUUGAAACGAAGGACAAAUGUGUCUGUGCACACGUGCACACACACAUAUACAAUGAACCCACGUGCAUGCUUGCAUAUGCGGGGAUGGGGUGAAUAUUGAACAGUUCUUUAGUACUCUAUUCCAAUUCACAUAGGGCAUUAGAGGCAUGCUGUGCUAGCCACCUCUUAGAAAUGUCUCCUUGAAAUGUUUGCACGCUCAGCACAACUGAAAGUGCCGUGAAAAUGUAAUGACGCUGGCGGCAUCGUUAUCCGCUCUGCCCAAUGUUCCUGAUCUUUGGCAUGAGGGAGGAGAGAAGGGGUCCUCAAAGCAGAGUGGCCUCUGAGCAGAGUGGCCCCGAUAUUAUUCUUCUUGAGAAUAAAAACUCUGUUAUUUUCUUCUUGGUCAAAGUGACCAAGAGAAAAAGAGAGAAGCACCUUUAUCUUAGAAAACAUGAAACCCAGCCUGUUUCAUCCAUCUAUGCGAAAAAUCCUCAUUGAGUACUGAAUCAUCCAGAGUCUUGCCAAGAAACAGACAGGACACGCAAAACAGGGAAUUGAGGACGUUCAUUAGGGAAGGGGCUAUUUACAAAGGUUCAGGUUAGGAGAAGAAAAAUAAACUUGGGAUGAUGAAGCACCCCAGGGCUAGCAACAGAAGAGGACCAGAUACCAUGCCUGGGCCUGAAAGAGCAAGGACAGGGAUUUCGGAUGUGUACACUAUUACUGAAGGGACAAAAGGAAGAAGCUAUAACCAGAAACUAACUAUAGCUACAGCUAUAGAACAAUGGUUCUCAAAAUGAGGUCCCUACACCAGCAGCAGCAUUACCUGGAAACUAGUUAGAAAUGCAAAGUCUUGGCCAAGUGCAGUGGCUCAUGCCAGGAAUGCCGGCAUUUGGGGAGGCUGAAGCAGGAGGAUCACUUCAGCCCAGGAAUUCAAGACCAGCCUGAGCAACACAGUGAGACCCCCAUCCUUACAAAAAAUUAAAAAGGUGGCAGGGCAUGGUAGUAUAUGCCUAUAGUCCCAGCUACUCAGGAGGGUGAGGUGGGAGGACGGCUUGAGCCCAGGAGUUUGAGGCUACAAUGAGCUACGAUCGUGCCACUGCACUCCAGCUUGGAUGACACAGUCAGACUCUGUCUCGAAAAAAGAAGAAGAAAUGCAAAUUAUUGGGCCCCACCCCAGACCUACUGAAUCAGAAACUCUGGGGAUGGGGCCAAGCAAGCUGGGACAACAUAACUGAAUUGUGGCUCCUAAAAUGGUAGAAGUGUAAAUGCACUCACUUGAAACAUGCCUCAAAACACCAGAAUAAAAAAAAACAACUAUUUCAAAGGCACAGAAAACUCAAAGAACCUCCCAAAGGCAACAAUACACUCAGCAAUUGAAUUGAAGUCAAUAAGAGGAAUUAAUAUCUCAUUUCACCGAUAAGAAAAUUGAAGCGGAAAAGGCCAGUGACUCUGGAGAGACCAAACAAGGAAUGGUAAUAAAACAAGAACCAAUAUUCUAAGUCACAGCCUCAUUCUGAUGGGCAGCUGGUUUCCAAACCCUGGCUUCAGAAGCAGCAGCAUGUGAGCAGGCCUGGCAGCUGGAACAGAGACAUGAAAUGGCCCAACUUCAGCCAUGUAAAAGAAGACAACAUCCUAAGGAAGGGGGGAGUCACAACAUGGAAGGAACCUGGGUCCCUGAAUUAACACAUACAGCAGAGCUGCUCUACCAGCCUGGGUUGUACAUUAGGGUCUCUUUGAUACAGCAGCUAAGCAUGUACCUUAGCUAAUACAUCUCUACAUGCAACCAGGGAAAAACAUUUGGAGUGAACACAAGGAAGUCAUUGUAAGGUUAGAACAUGGAAAAGAAGUUCAUGAGUCAAUUGCAGGCUCAGAGCAAGGGUAAUCUGAAGAAAACCACAGUAGGAAAAACAUCAGCACAAAUAAUUUAGACAAAACAAUACUGGCAGGGCACAGUGACUCACGCCUGUAAUCCCAACACUUUGGGACGCCAAGGCAGGCAGAUCAUGAGGUCAAGAGUUUGAGACCAGCCUGACCAAUAUGGUGAAACUCCGUCUCUACUAAAACAACAAAAAUUAGCCAGGCAUGGUGGUGUGCGCCUGUAAUCCCAGCUACUCAGGAGGCUGAGGCAGGAGAAUCAAUUGAACCCAGGAGGUAGAGGUUGCACUGAGCUGAGAUCAUGCCACUGCACUCCAGCCAGGGUGACAGAGCGAGACUGCAUCUCAAAAAAAAAAAAAAAAAAAAAAAAAUACUGCAAGUGGUGGGAUGCAAAACUAUGUGUUCUUUGUGAAGAUCAGCUCCUUCAUGGAAGGACACUGAUGAAGGCAUCUGUUAUGCAGAAUUGAACAGAUUUCUUCAUGAACCAGAUCAACAGAGCACUGUUUCCAUCAGCCACAUGCAGAAUACAGGACUAGCUUUGUUAUAUAGAACCAGACAUUAUGACAGAGUUUGCGACAAUUUUCUAUAGACCAGAAAACAAUAAGCCACAUUCACUGGCUUAUUGUGGUAUGUCACCACAAAUGGGAAAUUUUUAACCAUCAAAAUGCAAAAGAACUCAAGUUCAAUUUCCUUGCACUGCAUUCCAAAUUUUGAAAAUCUCACUGAGUCUAUCUUGAAUUACACACGUGAAAGAAAAUAACUCCACUGAGAAUAUAAUGCAAGUUCCGUAAUACAAUAAGUAAAUUUGAAUGCACAUCAAAUUUCUAUGAAAUUAAUCACACAUUCAUCCAAUAAAUAUUGCUUAAGCAUUGACUUGGUAAAGCUCUACUCUCCCUUUAUGGAUGAAGUAGCCUAGUGGGACAGACCAGCACCCACUCAUAAAGGAGAAGUACAGGGUGCAAUGAGCGUACAGUCAAAAGGCGCCAUUCCAGAAGUAUAGGGUCUAGGAAGGGCUUCUGGAAGAAGUGAAAUCUGAUCCAACCCAGAAAGAGAAAGAGGAGUUAGCAAGGUGAACAGGGAAAGAGUGAACAGCAUGGAAAAAGGUCAGAGGCAAGGUCAAAGAACCAAAGGAAGUUCAGGAUGUUAAGGUAGAAAGAGAGAAACAGUAAGUGGCUGGGGACAAGUGCAAGAAAGGCCUGGUAAGUCACGUGGAAGAGUCUGGACUUCAUCCAGAGGACAGCAGGGAGUCUUGAAGGGUUUCAACAGCGGGCUGACUUGGCUGCAGUAUGUGGAAGACCUGGGAGAAGGGCCAGACAGAUGGCAGGGAAAAUACUUCAGAGGUUAUCACAGUAAUUCAGAGUAGAGAAGAUGGAUGCCUGAAACCCACACAGCAGAGGCAAGACUGGAGAGAAGAGACAGCCAGGAGGGAUAUACCAUAGGAGGUAGAAUCCUGUUGUUUUUUUCAUUGAUUUAAAAUGUAUCUUCAGGGCCAGGCGUGGUGGUUCACGCCUGUAAUUCCAGCACUUUGGGAGGCCGAGGAGGGAAGAUUACAAGGUCAGGAGUUCGAGAACAGCCUGGUUAACAUAGUGAAACCCCGUCUCUACUAAAAAGACAAAAAUUAGCUGGGCAUGGUGUUGCAUGCCUAUAAUCCCAG